rnacentral:miRNA from 1 species
UACACGUGUCAAUCAUCUAU